ensembl:lncRNA
UUUUAUUCUCAUUAGCAUUAUUGUAGUUAUUAAAAUGUUAAUCCUUGAGGGAUAUACAUAUUUCUUAAAGUGGAGUGAGUAUGGGGUAGUUGAAAGAGGGUGUUAGAAGUCAGACAGGCCUCGGCUUAGAUCUUGGAUCACCUAAUUCAGAUCUAAACCUAAGUUUGUUCAACUGUACAAAAGAGGCUAAUACCCACCUUGUGAAAUUUUUGUAAAGUUUAAAUGAAGAAUAUAAAGAAAAUGCGUAGCACAAUAACUGACCCAUGAGAGAUGCUCAGCUUAGGUGACUUUGCAUGAAGAAUUGCCACUGUCUACAAGAGCAUUAGCAUUUUUAUAGGGAUCAGAAUUAUAAACUCCAGGAAGAUCAUAGGGGAAAGAUAUGAUCCUGGUGGUAGAGCAGCCAUUACAACAUUUUUCCCUCGCCGCUCAAGCUUAAACUUCUGACUUGUUCUCAUCUUUUAGAUCUCAGUUUGGCUGUCACUUCCUCCAGGAAGUCUUCAGUGCUAGGCUUCCAUGGAGCUCUGUCCUCCUCCUGUCGUAGGAAGACACAGUAUCAUGGGUGAUAUGUUCACUUGUCUAAAACGCCUGCUUGAUAAUAAGGUCCUUGAGACAAGAAAAUGUGCCUCCUUUGUAAUCUGUGUGGCUACAGCAAUAUUUCUAUCCCACAUGCUUUUGCAGAACCUUGUCCCUCCCUUAUCAAGUAGUGGAGUUUUUGUCGCCUCCUCCCCUUAAACCUGGGUAGGCCUUUGUGACACCUAAACUUAUAGAGUAGAAUGGAGAAUAAUUCUAUGAUUCUGAAGUUAGGUCAUAAAGGAUGGAACAGCUUCCACCUGACUUUUUCUCUUAAAAUAAUCUCCCUUGAAACACAGCCACCAUGGUGGGAGGAAGACUAAGCCAUAAGGAGAGGCACACAAGGAGGGGAAUUGAGGUCCCAGCCACAACCAAGCUCCCUGCCAACAGCCAGCAUCAACUUUCUAGUCACACAAGUGAGCCAUCUUGGAAGCAAAUACUCCAGUCCUGAAUCAAGACACCUCAGCUAAUGGUGCGUGGAAGAGAUGUGCCUCUUCCACUGAUGCCAGUCCAAAUUGCAGAUUCAUGAACAACCACAGCUGCAGAUGAGCAGUGUCCACAGACACCUGCCUGCAAGGCUCCAGGAACGCUUUGGUCAUAAACUCCCACUGCCUGGCAAUGUCAGCUCUAAAAUCCAGAACUGUUUAGACAACUGAAGAAUUCAGUCUAGUACUCCUGUAUUACUUGGCAUUGCACUUUAUAGAGAAUUGAGAGAGAAUAAAACCCUUUGAUCUGCCUCUUCUCUUGGUCUUCUUCAACGUUUGUUUGAUUGCCAUCAUAAGUAAUCAAAGUACUACUUUGACCAGAGAGAAGAAACAACCACAAAUUUGGUCUUUUCUACAACAAGAACCCGGUGCCACAGAAAAUAACAGAAGCGAGGAGAUGACUUUCCUGACAGACAUGUUCAAUUUUGGAUAUGCUAAGCAUGUUACAAUUUUAGGGAAAAUAACCGGCAAGCAGAGGGAAAAACAGAACUCAAGCUCAGGAAAUAGUCCCCUUGCUUGCAGAAUACCUGGACGUCGUAGGAACAUAAGCUGGCUGGCAGAAAGACAAGGCAGGCAGCUUUGAUUUAUCCCAGGAAGUUAGAAAACCUCUCUUCAAUGAAGGAGGUGAAAGCCAUAAUGAUUCUUCAUAAUGAACCCUGAUGACGAGGAGCAAGCAAUGAGCCACUUUUUAUGGCAGUUAAUGAUUCGAGCAGAAUGAAAGAAGAAGACUGCACUGGUCACUUGCUCCUCUGAUUCAAACAUAAAAACACAACACAGUGAAAAAGCAUAUUGUUUCCCUGAACUUCAGAGGAAAAACUGAAAACGUUUUUCAAAGUAAAUGAAUUAAUCUCCGUUCCAAACCCAGUAACUAGUCUUAUUCUUUUGUUUUUGUCCUGAUCUGCCUUCCUUACAUAGAAGUUAUGUAGCACACGUUGUUUUCUUUUUAUAUCGGUUACAUUUUUACAGUAAUCACACAGUAUCUACACAAAAGAGAUUGGGUUGAUAUCUAUACAUAGAAAACUAAUGGGACCCUGUGAACCUGGAUACUGACACCCUCACUUUGUCAUCAAUGUAGAACAAUGCAUAAUAAAUGUUAUCAUCAUAUCUGUGCAAUACACAUAGAUUAAUCAUGACAAAAAAAUGUUAGGAUCCCCCUUAGUGUGUUAUUAUUUGUAAUUGUCCAUAACAAUAGUUACAACAAACUUU